rnacentral:rRNA from 1 species
UGGCACCUACGGGGGGCAGCAGUGAGGAAUAUUGGUCAAUGGACGAGAGUCUGAACCAGCCAAGUAGCGUGAAGGAUGACUGCCCUAUGGGUUGUAAACUUCUUUUAUAUGGGAAUAAAGUUUUCCACGUGUGGAAUUUUGUAUGUACCAUAUGAAUAAGGAUCGGCUAACUACGUGCCAGCAGCCGCGGUAAUACGGAGGAUCCGAGCGUUAUCAGGAUUUAUUGGGUUUAAAGGGAGCGUAGGUGGAUUGUUA